CCUANGGGGGGCAGCAGUCGAGAAUUUUUCACAAUGGGCGCAAGCCUGAUGGAGCGACGCCGCGUGGGGGAUGAAUGGCUUCGGCCCGUAAACCCCUGUCAUUCGCGAUCAAACCUCGUUAUUUAAAAGAUGACGAGCUGAUAGUAGCGGAAGAGGAAGGGACGGCUAACUCUGUGCCAGCAGCCGCGGUAAUACAGAGGUCCCGAGCGUUGUUCGGAUUCACUGGGCGUAAAGGGUGCGUAGGUGGUGAGGUAAGUCGGAUGUGAAAUCUCGGAGCUCAACUCCGAAACUGCAUUGGAAACUACCUGGCUCGAGGGUUGGAGGGGGGACUGGAAUUCUCGGUGUAGCAGUGAAAUGCGUAGAUAUCGAGAGGAACACCAGUGGCGAAGGCGAGUCCCUGGACAACUCCUGACACUGAGGCACGAAAGCUAGGGGAGCAAACAGGAUUAGAUACCCGANUANUC
rnacentral:rRNA from 1 species